AUGCAAAUGGCUCCUAAGUUGACUAGAGGAAAGGGAGCUAGGCGAGGUAAGGGGCGUAGAAUUUACAAUUAUGAUGAUCCUACUGAAUAUUAUGAUGUUGUCGAAGCUGAAGGAAAUGAUGAUGGUCUUGAGGAUAUCAGUGGAGGACAACAUGGAGGCAUUCCCAUGGCCGAUGCGAAUCAUGAGGAAGAUGAAGCCUAG